CCCUUAGAUGUUCUGGGCCGCACGCGCGCUACAAUGAUGAGUUCAACGAGUUUAUAACCUUGGUUGAAAAGCCUGGGUAAUCUUUUGAACUUUCGUCGUGAUGGGGCUAGACCCUUGCAAUUAUUGGUCUCCAACGAGGAAUUCCUAGUAAACGCAAGUCAUCAGCUUGCAUUGAUUACGUCCCUGCCCUUUGUACACACCGCCCGUCGCACCUACCGAUUGAAUGGUCCGGUGAAAUCUUCGGAUUGAGACUUUGAUUUGUUUACUCAAAACGCUGUUUCAAGAAGUUGAUUAAACCUUACCAUUUAGAGGAAGGUGAAGUCGUAACA
rnacentral:rRNA from 1 species